GAUGAACGCUAGCGGCAGGCCUAAUACAUGCAAGUCGAGGGGCAGCACGGUUUUCGGACUGGUGGCGACCGGCGCACGGGUGCGUAACGCGUAUACAAUCUACCCAAUACUGGAGGAUAGCCCGAGGAAACUCGGAUUAAUACUCCAUGGUAUCACAGAUAGGCAUCUUGAAGUGAUUAAAGAUUUAUCGGUAUUGGAUGAGUAUGCGUCUGAUUAGUUUGUUGGUGAGGUAACGGCUCACCAAGACUACGAUCAGUAGGGGUUCUGAGAGGAUGAUCCCCCACACUGGCACUGAGAUACGGGCCAG
rnacentral:rRNA from 1 species